GUUCCAGACAUGUGUAAAGCCCUUAGAUGGGAAGAAGCAAGGCAAAAUUAGAGGCUGAAAGAAGGCUAGUGAGUGAUACCGGCAAGAGCUGAAAUUUAAGAGGAAGAGGCAUGAUGAUGCAGGACUGUAUAAAAAAAAGUAAUCGGUCUGGAUUUUAUUCUACUGACAUGGGAAACCACUGAAGGAUUUUUCAGCAGUUUGGUUUGUACUCACAAACCAUAGCUAAAGUGGAACUUACAAGUUGAAGUCCAACCAGUACCAGAAUUUGAUUGCAAGCAAUGAAAACAAACUCUGCCUAAUUAAACAGAGAAGAAAUUUGUUGGAAGAAUACAGGCUAGCUCACAGAAUCAAAAGGAAAGCUGCUGAGCAGCCCCAGGAAUGGCAGACCUAGAGCAGUUCUAGGGAUUAGGUAAAAAGGAUCAGGACAAUGUCUGCAGGAAGCUCACUGGAGUGAAUCUACACCCUGUCUCAGCAACAUUCUGCUCAGGAUCCAGAUUCCCAGAAUGAGAGUUCACAAGGCCACCCCUUGACUGGGACAUUCUGAACAUCUUCAUUGAAAUUAUGACGAAGAAGGCAGGGAGUUGGAAAGACAUAGAUCUCCAGAGCCCUUAAUCUCAGAUCAGUCGUGAGAAAGACAUCAAACAAAUCCAAAUGGGGGACAUUCUGCAAAAUAACUCACCAGUACUCCUCAAAACUAUAAAGGUCAUCAAAAACAAGGAAACUCUGAGAAAUUGUCAUAGCCAAGAGGAGCCUGAGGAGAUAAUGACAACUAAAUGCAAUCUAGUAUCCUGGAUGAGAUCCUGGAAUAGAAAAAGAACAUCAGCAAUGUGAACAAACCAAACCGUCGAACACUGAACCAGUGGAAAAUGAAUGUACUUCCAAAAUCAUUUCCCUGACCCACUGCAAACAGCUUGAUCACAUUGGAGAAUGUGACCCAUGCGGUUGCUGAAGCGUGUUUUCCCACUGUACCUCAUGCAGAAAAAUCAAACUAAGAGUAAUCUUGAAAUGUCACUUCACAAACAAACUGAAGAAACUGGAAGAGAUAAACUAGGAUUUCCCCUGGUGGGCCAUGGCAGAGUGGUAGUGGGUACCUGGGAGAGCCCUAGAAACUUGGGGGGAGGGUCAAAGACCAGGACCUGGUGCUGAGCUUCAAGGAAUGAAUCUUCCUAGAGCGUUCCCACUGGUGAAUCAGGAUACCAUCUGCAUAUGUCAUCAAGUGGCUCGCGUCCCACCUUUGCCAAAUAUAUUAGAUUUUUAUUGUUGCAGUAACAAAUCUCCAUACGCUGAGUGGAUUAAAGCAUCACAAAUUUAUUUUUACAGUUCUGGAGGUCAAAAGUCCAGUAAGGAUCUCACUAGAUUAACAUAGAUGCGUCAGCCGAGCUGUGUCUGCUUUUGGAGGUUAGCAUAGCAGGUGGAGUCUCUCUCUUGUAACAAGUUUCACUGACUCUUUUCUCACCAUACCUUUUUCUCUGACCACCUUUGGAAAAGGUCUCUGCUUUUAAGGAUUCGUGUGAUUAGAUGGGGCCCACCUGGCUAUUUCAGGAUGAUUUCCCCAUCUCAAGGUCUAUAACCUUAAUCAUAUCUGCAAAGUACCCUUGUUAUGUAAGGUAACUCACAGAUUUGGGGGGACAGGAAAUAGGUUUUUUAGGGGGUCAUUAUCCUGCCUACCACACCAAGUGAAGAAAGAGUAGGAUAAUCUUUAUCUUUCUGGCCUCCACCUUCCUGAUCUUAACCCACGCUGACUGGAUCUGGGCCUACUACCAUACAUUCCAACAUAUUCUAACACUACCCCCUUCUUAUUGCUUAGUUUUAUUUAGCUCACUGGCUUGAAAACCAUACCAUCUAUGAUUUCCCUUAUUAUCCUCAACAAUAUCUAGGAUGUGGAAAAUGUAUAAGAAAUAAUGUGCUUUUUGUGUUAACUGUAAAAAUAUGUGUUAAUUCUCAGUAACAAUCUUGCAUCUACACAUCAGUUGUCUCUUGGGGUAGGGGCCUAAAUUUUUUUCCAAAAGAAACAUACGCAUUAAAACAGCAGUAUGAGAUGGUCAUAAUAUACUUAACAAUGGCAACCAGUUUGGAUUCUUUGAAUAAAUAAAACUGUGAAUAGAUGGGUUUCUUUAGAUGAGGACCUUUAGAGAACUCCCACCUUCCUUUUAGUCUGUGCCCUGUGUAGCGUCAGGAGGACAGAAGAUUAUUGUAUUGUGUUCUUAGGACCAAAUGAAUAAACAUCAUUUGCCUAUUAAAAAUUACGGUAUUUUAUUUUUAAAGAACUGCGCUGGGGGCGCCUCGCUGGCUUAGUCAGAACAGCAUUGAUUCUUGAUGCCAGGGUCGUAAAUUCAAGCCUCAUGUUGGAUAUAGAGAUAAAUAAAUGAAUAAAUAAAAACUUAAUAAAAUUGUUUAAAAUUUUUCAGUUUUUCUGUGCUGACAGCUCAGAGCCUGAAGCCUGCUUCAGAUUCUGUCUCUGUCUCUCUCUUCCCCUCCCCCACUCAUGCUCUUUUUUCUCUCUCAAAAAUAAAUAAAAACAAAAAAUAAAAUAAAACAAAAUUCAGCUUAAAAAAAGAACUAUGCUAAUACAAGUUUUGAAGUAGAGGAUAUGUAUCUUGGUUACAAUUUUACCGAUGAAUGAAAUUAAGUUUUUUUACAUUAUAUAAAUUGAAGACAAAAUUGAAUUUACCUUGAUGUUAAUUAAGCUUAAGCUUCAAGUCCCCUAAUUUUGUAAUAGUAGUAUUUGAUCAUAGUUUUCUAAAGACGAUCAAAAAUGCAUAGGUUUAGGACCCCAUAAAACUUGGGUCCACCACUGACUAGAGCACUUUCCUGUUUGAAUUGCCUAAAUGUUUAAUAAUAAUAUUUCUUUAAAAUAAAUAUAUUUGGUCAUAUUAUUUUGCUAUUUUCUAUAUCUUAGGUGUGAUAGACUAUUUGUUCACAAUUGU